AUUGAACGCUGGCGGAAUGCUUUACACAUGCAAGUCGAACGGCAGCACGGGGGCAACCCUGGUGGCGAGUGGCGAACGGGUGAGUAAUACAUCGGAACGUGCCCGGUCGUGGGGGAUAACGUAGCGAAAGUUACGCUAAUACCGCAUACGAUCUGAGGAUGAAAGCGGGGGACCUUCGGGCCUCGCGCGAUCGGAGCGGCCGAUGUCAGAUUAGGUAGUUGGUGGGGUAAAGGCCUACCAAGCCGACGAUCUGUAGCUGGUCUGAGAGGACGACCAGCCACACUGGGACUGAGACACGGCCCAGACUCCUACGGGAGGCAGCAGUGGGGAAUUCUGGACAAUGGGCGCAAGCCUGAUCCAGCCAUUCCGCGUGCAGGACGAAGGCCUUCGGGUUGUAAACUGCUUUUGUAUGGAACGAAAAGGCUCUGGCUAAUACCUGGGGCUCAUGACGGUACCGUAAGAAUAAGCACCGGCUAACUACGUG
rnacentral:rRNA from 1 species